UACAGAGGUCUCAAGCGUUGUUCGGAUUCAUUGGGCGUAAAGGGCGCGUAGGCGGGAUGGCAAGUCGGUCGUGAAAUCCUUCGGCUCAACCGAAGAACGUCGGCCGAUACUGCCGUUCUUGAGGGAUGCAGAGGAGAUUGGAAUUCCCGGUGUAGCGGUGAAAUGUGUAGAGAUCGGGAGGAACACCGGUGGCGAAGGCGGGUCUCUGGGCAUCUCCUGACGCUGAGGCGCGAAAGCGUGGGGAGCGAACAGG
rnacentral:rRNA from 1 species